GACGAACGCUGGCGGCGUGCCUAACACAUGCAAGUCGAACGGAGUUGUUCCUUCGGGGACAACUUAGUGGCGAACGGGUGAGUAACGCGUGAGGAACCUGCCUUUCAGUGGGGGACAACAGUUGGAAACGACUGCUAAUACCGCAUGAUGUAGCGAGGGGGCAUCCCUUUGCUACCAAAGCUUUAUGUGCUGAAAGAUGGUCUCGCGUCUGAUUAGCUAGUUGGUGAGGUAACGGCCCACCAAGGCGACGAUCAGUAGCCGGUCUGAGAGGAUGAACGGCCACAUUGGGACUGAGAUACGGCCCAGACUCCUACGGGAGGCAGCAGUAGGGAAUAUUGGGCAAUGGGGGAAACCCUGACCCAGCAACGCCGCGUGAAGGAAGAAGGGCCUUCGGGUUGGUAAACUUCUUUACCUAGGGACGAACACAAUGACGGUACCUGGAGAAAAAGACAACGGACUAAACUAACCGUUAG
rnacentral:rRNA from 1 species